GCGGGAGUAGGAAAGCAUGGUCAAAUCCGCAGGACUUAAGAUCCUGUCUCUUAGUGAGUUCGCCGGUUCAAAUCCGGNNAGGGCCUGUUCCCUUAGGGGUUCGCCGGUUCAAAUCCGGUCUCCCGCA
rnacentral:tRNA from 1 species